GUGUUCACUCAUUUUUUUCUGUUUGUUUACUGUUAUAUCCCUAACACCCAAAACACUGCCUAUCAGUUAAAUGAAUGAAUGAACAAAUAUUGACUAUGUACCUCAUACAGGCCAGGUACUGUGCUAGGUUCAGAAAUGCAGCAAUAAACAAGACCCUGCUUUCAUGGAAAUUGCAGUGCAGAAGACAUUAAACAAAAAUUAUGCAAGUUAACUAUUUAACCGUAAUUGUGAAAAAAGCUAUAAAGGAAAAUCAUAAAGUAUAUGAAAAUAGUAUCUAAUAUUGCUUGAAAAGUCAAAGAAGACUUUUCUGAGGAACUGACAUUUAAGCUAGCACCUAAGACUAAGAUUUAACAAAGGGAAGAGGAAAGAGGGAAACUAUUCCAUGUAGAUAAAACCACAUAUGUGAAGAUCCUGAGGAAGCUAGGUGUGUAUUGUCUUCUAAGAACUGAAAACAAAUCACUUCAGACUAAAGACAACCGAUCAAAUGAGGCUGAAGUAAAAGGCAAAGCUCAGAUUAUGCAGGAGUAUUGUAAAUUUGUAACACUUCUUAUGUAUCUGAUGCCUUCACGUUACCAUGAACAAGCUAUAAACACCCUGCCCAGGCAACCAGGUGCACCAGUAUGAUAAGGCUGGUUCCUGCCACAGGUUCCCCUUUUUGCCAUCACGACUGUGACCUAGUGAUAUUCAAACACUCCAAUGAAAUCCCUUCAUGUCAUUUACUUGUGUACUCCACCCUGACCCCAAUGAAGGCACUUGCCCACAGGUUUCCCCCCUCAUCCUCUCUCCCUCUUCUUAGUUGAGCCCACUCCCUGGGCAUUCCUUCCAUGUGGCCCCCUGCGUGGCAUGCUAUGCCUCUCUCUUCUAGGACCUGUGAACAUAAAAAAUCUCUUUCAUUUUCACAUGCCUCUCCAUAGUGUUUUUCCAUGUCUGCAUCUGACUGAUCAUCAAAACAAAACCAUUUUAAGUGACAAUUAUUCCUCACAACACAAUAGGCUAAAGGGGAUCAAGAUAUGCCUCCUCAAAAUAUGCCAUUUUGGCAUAAGGGUUAUUUUAAACUGAAGGCAAUUGGGAAUCAAUAGAUGUAGAAAGAGCUUUUUGCCAUUCCUUUAGCUGCCUAAACGCAGGGCAUAAAUUGCUCUUUGAGAGGUUUUCUCUCCAACCUCCAGACCAGGAAGAGCAGUGACUCUUAUCACCAGAGGACAGCUGCAAUAGAGAUGAAUUUGCAUAAACGGACCUAAAAUAACCUUUAUCUUCUAUUAGUUCUCCCAUAUAUUUCCUACUCACUUCCCCACAAUUUAUCAUUCCUUGUAGCCCAAAUCUCCUUUUACUAAAAAGGUAAAUAAACCCCAGAGUCUAAUAACCUCUGAGUUUCACUCUUCUGUGAACUCUCCUGCAUGUAAAUAUUUAAAAUUGUGUGCCUUUUCUCCUGUUAAUCUAUCAUUUGUUAUUUUAAUUCACAGGCCCCGAUUUAUUGAACAUAAGACAGUAGAGGAAAAGUUUUUCCUCCUCAUCAAGGGCCUUGUAGACUGUGUUAUGGAUUUUGGACUUCACACCAACAGCAAUGGGAACUAAGGAUCAAGAAUCCAUACAUUAAUCAAGAAGGAUGAAAGACCCAGAAAUUAAACUAAAAGACAAUUUAGAGCACUGCUAACCAGUUUAUUUCUGCUAAAACAAAUUUAAUCCUACUAUGAAGAACAAUUAUUUUAAUCAACCUCCUGCCUCAGAAACUAAAGAAUGGUGACGCAGAAACAAAUCCCACAAUACGAGGAUAUGAAAAUCAAUACCAAAUAAACAUCAAUAUUAUUUUAA